rnacentral:rRNA from 1 species
CGAAAGCCUGACGGAGCAACGCCGCGUGAGGGAGGAAGGCCUUAGGGUUGUAAACCUCUUUUCUCAGGGAAGAAGAUCUGACGGUACCUGAGGAAUAAGCCUCGGCUAACUCCGUGCCAGCAGCCGCGGUAAGACGGAGGAUGCAAGCGUUAUCCGGAAUUAUUGGGCGUAAAGCGUCCGCAGGUGGUGAGUCAAGUCUGCUGUCAAAGCACGGGGCUUAACUCCGUUAAGGCAGUGGAAACUGAAUGGCUAGAGUGCCGUAGGGGUAGAGGGAAUUCCCGGUGUAGCGGUGAAAUGCGUAGAGAUCGGGAAGAACAUCGGUGGCGAAAGCGCUCUACUGGACGGCAACUGACACUCAGGGACGAAAGCUAGGGGAGCG